rnacentral:rRNA from 1 species
UGGGGAAUUUUGGACAAUGGGCGAAAGCCUGAUCCAGCAAUGCCGCGUGUAUGAAGAAGGCCUUCGGGUUGUAAAGCACUUUUGUCCGGAAAGAAAUCCUUGGCUCUAAUACAGUCGGGGGAUGACGGUACCGGAAGAAUAAGCACCGGCUAACUACGUGCCAGCAGCCGCGGUAAUACGUAGGGUGCAAGCGUUAAUCGGAAUUACUGGGCGUAAAGCGUGCGCAGGCGGUUUGCUAAGACCGAUGUGAAAUCCCCGGGCUCAACUGGGAACUGCAUUGGUGACUGGCAGGCUAGAGUAUGGCAGAGGGGGUAGAAUUCCACGUGUAGCAGUGAAAUGCGUAGAGAUGUGGAGGAAUACCGAUGGCGAAGGCAGCCCCAUGGGCCAAUACUGACGCUCAUGCACGAAAGCGUGGGGAGCAAACAGGAUUAGAUACCCUGGUAGUCCACGCCCUAAA